UUCCGGUUGAUCCUGCCGGAGGCCACUGCUAUUGGGGUCCGACUAAGCCAUGCGAGUCUCUGGUUCUUGCAACCAGGGCGGACGGCUCAGUAACACGUGGGUAAUCUGCCCUCGGGACGGGGAUAACCCCGGGAAACUGGGGAUAAUACCCGAUAGGCAGAAAUGUCUGGAAGGAUUUUCUGCCCAAAUCCUACGGGGCCCGAGGAUGAGCCUGCGGCCGAUUAGGUUGUUGGCGGUGUAACGGACCACCAAGCCUCAGAUCGGUACGGGCACUGGGAGGUGGAGCCCGGAGAUGGGGGCUGAGAAACGGCCCCAGGCCCUACGGGGCGCAGCAGGCGCGAAAACUCCGCAAUACGCGAAAGCGUGACGGGGGAACCCCAAGUGUCAUGCCUUCGGGUAUGACUUUUGCAGAGUGUAAACAGCUCUGCGAAUAAAAGCGGGGUAAGACCGGUGCCAGCCGCCGCGGUAACACCGGCCGCUCGAGUGGUGGCCACUAUUAUUGGGCCUAAAGCGUCCGUAGCCGGUCCAUUAAGUCCCUCGGUAAAUCCACUCGUUUAACGAAUGGAAUUCGGGGGAUACUGAUGGACUAGGGGGCGAGAGAAGUCAGAGGUACUCCGGGGGUAGCGGUGAAAUGCUAUAAUCCUCGGGGGACCACCAGUGGCGAAGGCGUCUGACUAGAGCGCGCUCGACGGUGAUGGACGAAAGCCAGGGGAGCGAACGGGAUUAGAUACCCCGGUAGUCCUGGCCGUAAACGCUGCGGGCUAGGUGUUACGUCCUCUACGAGGGGAUGUAGUGCCGAAGAGAAGUUGAUAAGCCCGCCGCCUGGGAAGUAUUACCACAAGGUAGAAACUUAAAGGAAUUGGCGGGGGAGCACCACAAGGGGUGAAGUCUGCGGUUCAAUUGGAUUCAACGCCGG
rnacentral:rRNA from 1 species